rnacentral:rRNA from 1 species
UACGGAGGGUGCGAGCGUUGUCCGGAAUCACUGGGCGUAAAGGGCGCGUAGGUGGCGGUCCAAGUCAACGGUGAAAGCUCGGGGCUCAACCCCGAGUCGGCCGUCGAUACUGGGUUGCUUGAGCACUGUAGAGGCAGAUGGAAUUCCGGGUGUAGCGGUGGAAUGCGUAGAGAUCCGGAAGAACACCGGUGGCGAAGGCGGUUGGCUGGGCAGUUGCUGACACUGAGGCGCGACAGCGUGGGGAGCAAACAGG